ACAUUUCUUUGCAUGUUCAGGUACCCCUUGGCUCUAUCACGUCAAUAAUUGAUGGCUUGAAGAAGCUAUACAUUGAAAAGUUGAAGCCCCUGGAAGUUACCUAUCGAUUUAACGAUUUUGUUUCUCCUUUAUUGACAAGCAGUGAUUUGGAUACUAGGCCAAUGGUUAUGCUCAUGGGCUAGUACUCCACUAGGAAAACAACAUUCAUUAAACAUUUGCUAAACUGCAGUUAUCCAGGAGCGCACAUCGGACCGGAACCUACGACUGACAGAUUUGUUGUUAUUAUGGUAUGCAUCCAAAUCCCAAAGCUAAUUAUAAAAUUUUGAAUUGCUCUGGCACCUUUAAAAAAAGG